UACGGGGGGGGUAAGCGUUGUUCGGAAUUACUGGGCGUAAAGGGCUCGUAGGCGGCCAACUAAGUCAGACGUGAAAUCCCCAGGCUCAACCUGGGAACUGCGUCUGAUACUGGAUGGCUUGAAUUCGGGAGAGGGAUGCAGAAUUCCAGGUGUAGCGGUGAAAUGCGUAGAUAUCUGGAGGAAUACCGGUGGCGAAGGCGGCAUCCUGGACCGACAUUGACGCUGAUGAGCGAAAAGCUAGGGGAGCAAACGGGG
rnacentral:rRNA from 1 species